CCACCCACAUCCCUGCUCUUCUCUAAGCCGCUGAACUUCUCCAGCCCUCACCGGCCGUGUCUUCAUCUCCGCGAAAGGACCUGCCCCUUCAGUGUGUUCCUAGGAGGAUUCUGCUCUUACAGUGACCAUCUCCCCAGCGUCCCCAGCAGGAGUGACAGUGACCCUGCUAUCCAGAGGGAGGAGGGCUGCACCUGUGGCAUAGAGACGUCCCCAGGCUGGGGGUCAACUCGGAGCUGCGGCUGCAGCUGCAAUCAACGCCAACCAGCCUCGGCUCCCUCUCGGACCUGACAGAACCGCUUAAGUCCAUCAGGGCCCAGGGCAGGGCUGGCCGCCGCGCCUUUCCACUGGCCCUGGGGCGUCGCGGGGGGACACAAGGCUGUGUCUGUCAACACCUGGAAGCGUCCAGGCUGCAGCGGGAAGCGGAUGAAAGGCUGGGAGUUGGGGACGUGGGGAGCUGGGCUUGAGCUCCAGCCUCAGGUCGCAGCCCUAGGGGCAGAGGCCCGUCACACUCAGAGAUCCCGCACGUCCGCUGUCCUCCUGGCCCAGCCGGAGGUAGGGGGACUUGGCAGACGACGGGGCUGUGGCCUGGGCGGGGACAUAUGCCCUGUGGCCAACCCACCCCACCCCCUCUCCCUCUGGCUGUCCCUGCACCUCCCUCUGGCACAGAAAUUCCCUGCCAAGCCCAACCUACCUCUAGCACACACACCCCUCCCCCCCUCCCCCGGCAAAGAGAUGUGACAUCAGCUGGUUCUUCCCCCACCUCGUGACCAUCACCUGCUGUGUCCAGGCGGAGGAGGUGCCUCUAACUGCCAUUGUGCCGCGGGGACCGUCACCCCGGGAGCGCCUGAGUUGCUGCUCUGCUUCCUCCACCUAGUGCUGGGCCAUCACCUGUGAGGAAGUUUCUGGUUACUUUGUGGGUACAAUCAUUCGGCCCCGGAGCACACCGAGCUCUCUUCUGUGUCGGAUUUCAGUAAAUGAUGUGCUGGCGUCUUCUCUCUAAGUGGUUCGGGCUGGCAGCAAGGGAGCCAGAUCCCCGGAGAUGGAGUUUCACUAGAAAGAUCCUGGGGUCUCGGAUCUGGACUAUUUCUGCUCAGAAAAGUUCCUUGCUAGUAGAAAACCAGAAAGGGCCAUUACUUUGUAUGUCAUGCUUGAGGGGACACUGGACAGAGGACGAAUUGCCGAAAAGCCACCUGCCUUUGCUAACAGCCCCAAGCAGUGGUGGAGGGUGACAGCCAGAUGACGCUGAGCAGGGACCUGUGCUGUUUGCCGGGCUUAAAGGCGGACGUCUCCAUCGACCUCCACGUCCAUGCCUACCUGCUCAGGGGCCGUCUAGGAAGGUCUUACCCACACAGCCCUUGAGACUGAAGCCGUUUCGUCCUGAUUUCGAGCAUUGUGUGGGGUCCCCUGGAUCUUAGAGGUUAAAACCAGGUAUGAUCAGAACUCCCAAACCAGCCACUUACUAGGCAAAAAGAAACCUCGGUAAAUUCCAACAGUAAGGUUUUUCUCUUCUAUAGUUUUACCACCACACUUUUAACAGAUAAAAUCAUCACGACUAACAGGCAGCUAUGAAAUGAGCACAUCAGGGGUUUUACUUACAUCAUUAGCCAAGGGAGGAGCCAGCAAGUUGUUCAAAAUGCAGUCUCUCUCUAACACACAGGCAAUUAGAAACGUCGACAGGAGGAGCUCCCGUCGUGGCUCGGCGAUAACGCACCCGAAUCAUAUCCACGAGGACUCGGGUUCCUGGCCUUUCUCAGUGGGUCACGGACCUGGUGUCGCUGUGAGCUGUGGUGCAGGCCUGCAGCUGUGACUCUGACUCAACCAUUCGACUCCUAGCCAGGGAACUUCUGUAUGCCAUGUGAGCGGCCCUAAAAAGACCAAAAAAAAAGAAAGGAAAAAAAAAA
rnacentral:lncRNA from 1 species